CAAAUUAAUAAUCUUUCAGUUAUCACAACUGUGUACCAUUCCGUUGUGUACAGGUUAUGUCGAGGAACAUAACAUUCCGUAUUAAUACUCAAACCAUCAAGCAAUUAACAUUCAAGUUAUGCACUAUGUUUAUGAGCUUGUAUUCUUUUUCAUUGACUCACCUGCCCUUCAUUAUGGAGCCACAAAAUAUUUGUAAGAUCCUAUCUUGAAGAGGUAUCAACUGGAGUCUUCUUCUGUAGCGGCACUAGGCCGCAAAGAACAAUUCUCUUUCCAACGGAUUCUUCUGUGCAUAGUAUAACAUCGCUGGAAGACUGUUUGUGAAAGACUGACGAAACAUAUA